GAUGAACGCUGGCGGCGUGCCUAAUACAUGCAAGUCGAGCGAACAGACGAGGAGCUUGCUCCUCUGACGUUAGCGGCGGACGGGUGAGUAACACGUGGAUAACCUACCUAUAAGACUGGGAUAACUUCGGGAAACCGGAGCUAAUACCGGAUAAUAUAUUGAACCGCAUGGUUCAAUAGUGAAAGACGGUUUUGCUGUCACUUAUAGAUGGAUCCGCGCCGCAUUAGCUAGUUGGUAAGGUAACGGCUUACCAAGGCGACGAUGCGUAGCCGACCUGAGAGGGGGAGCCGCCACGCGAGACUGGACACCCGCUCCAGACCCACGGGGGGGGAGAGAGUGGGAAUUCUGCCAGAAGGGGGGAAAGCUGGACGAAGCACCGCAGGGUGAGGAAGAAAGGUCUCGGGAGCGAAAAUCUCUUUUAUGGGGAAAAAAAAAUUGGGAAGGAACCAAGCCGGGUUGAGAGGAACGCAAACAAAAAACCCGGGUAGAUCCGCG
rnacentral:rRNA from 1 species